rnacentral:misc_RNA from 1 species
AGAAAAAAAAAAAAAAAAACAUAUGAAGUAAAGGUGUGAAAAGAUGAAAUAUAAUUUAUUAAAGAGAGAGAGCCAGAGAGGGAGAGUUUCAUAUGUCUUGCCAUUAAUUGGUGUAGAAUCUGACUAAUGCUAUUCAACCCAAAUGCAAAUUCCACCCAAACUCCAUUUAGGCACAUUGAUGGUGACAACGAAUGGCUGAAUAAUCAGCAAAUUGAUUAUUUAGAUACUCCAAUAGAAGCCUAGCAACUUUUCAUUUAAAUUAUGAAAUAAUUAAAGUCAAUUUCAUUGGUAAAGAGCUGGUGGACAAAGUCCAGCAAAUAAAAAAAUAAAAUGAAAUAUUUAAUUAGGAAACAUAACGUGAAUCUUCCAAGAAAUGAUCAUUGAUCAAUCACUGACACUUCUAGAAGACAAAUCCUGAUGAUCAGAUAUUCAAGAAAAUGGGUCCUUGUUGAACCAUGUAAUUCUUGACUUUCAUUUUACACCAAAAUUCCUGAGUCAGAUGCAAUCAGAAACAAUUUGAAGAGUCAACAAUGUAUUUCAAAACUCCACAUCUACAGCCAGCAUAUUGCUCUCAAGUAAUGAAAUAAUAAACAGCUGUUUUAGGAUAUAAUUCUAAGAAUGAGAUCUACCCAUAUAAAUCCACAAAACAGAUUAAAUCAACAAUUAUAAGGACAGCAGGACAGUAAACCCUGGUUAGAAAUAAGAAAGGGCAAUCAUAAAAGGAAACUUUGUGUGGAUUCAUCUCCCUUUCAAUUUCCUACCAAUUCAACUAUUACUGUUCUAACGCAACUACAAGGUCUAACCAUAAUUGUGCAUCAUCAAUUCUAAAGGCCAUCAUCAACUAACAAAAUAAAAUUAUCUCCUUGAAAGCAUAAAUGCUGUUUGAUUUAACAAAUGAAGGAAGAAAUCCUAGAAGCUAGAAGGCCACAAAUAAAUGAGACCACGAUGUUUACAAUCAAGCAACAGUACUAAUUUACAACAUAGACGGUAAAGAGAGGAAGAAUAAUUUUUUGGCUAUCAUGCACAAAUGGGGAUCUUUUGAAUUGUUUUAUCAACAAGGAAACAAGUAUAAUUGGCUUCUGAUUUUCGAAGCAAACGAUCUUUAACCAGAAAGUUAAGAGCAUAGAUGGCAGAACCUCUCUACUUCCGCCUAGGAAAAGGGGAAAGAAGAUAAAGCUUUCGACUUUGAGCAAGUGGAAAAUAUCUAAAAAACUCCAUAAUUAUUCAUCAAAGCAAUAUACAGGACAACCGCUAAAUAAAGCAUCUCUUUACUUAUUAAUCUUCUCAAACAAGACUUAUAAUAGCUCAAUUUAAGAUAAUCAAGCUGCAUCUAACUCUUGAGAUUGUUUUCACAUGAGCAGAAAGGGGGAAGUUCACAAUAUGACAAAAGCGUUUAACCAGAGGCUCAUAUUGAACAAAAAUCAAGUGAAAUUCUCAUUAGGACCUAAUUAUAAC